GAGUAACACGUGGGCAAUCUGCCCUUCACUCUGGGACAAGUCCUGGAAACGGGGUCUAAUACCGGAUACCAGGCUGGGAGGCAUCUCCCGGGUUGGAAAGCUCCGGCGGUGAAGGAUGAGCCCGCGGCCUAUCAGCUUGUUGGUGAGGUAAUGGCUCACCAAGGCGACGACGGGUAGCCGGCCUGAGAGGGCGACCGGCCACUCUGGGACUGACACACGGCCCACACUCCUACGGGAGGCAGCAGGGGGGAAUAUUGCACAGUGGGAAAAAGCCUGAUGCAGCCACCCCGCGUGAGGGAUGACGGCCUUCGGGUUGUAAACCUCUUUCAGCAGGAAAAAAGCGAGAGUGACGGUCCCUGCAAAAAAAGCGCCGGCUAACUACGUGCCAGCAGCCGCGGUAAUACGUAGGGCGCAAGCGUUGUCCGGAAUUAUUGGGCGUAAAGAGCUCGUAGGCGGCUUGUCACGUCUAUUGUGAAAGCCCGAGGCUUAACCUCGGGUCUGCAGUCUAUACGGGCUAGCUAGAGUGUGGUAGGGGAGAUCGGAAUUCCUGGUGUAGCGGUGAAAUGCGCAUAUAUCAGAGAGGAACACCGGUGGCGAACGCGGAUCUCUGGGCCAUUACUGACGCUGAGAGAGCGAAAGCGUGGGGAGCGAACAGGAUUAUACCCUGGUAGUCCACGCCGUAAACGGUGGGAACUAGGUGUUGGCGACAUUCCACGUCGUCGGUGCCGCAGCUAACGCAUUAAGUUCCCCGCCUGGGGAGUACGGCCGCAAGGCUAAAACUCAAAGGAAUUGACGGGGGCCCGCACAAGCGGCGGAGCAUGUGGCUUAAUUCGACGCAACGCGAAGAACCUUACCAAGGCUUGACAUACACCGGAAAACCCUGGAGACAGGGUCCCCCUUGUGGUCGGUGUACAGGUGGUGCAUGGCUGUCGUCAGCUCGUGUCGUGAGAUGUUGGGUUAAGUCCCGCAACGAGCGCAACCCUUGUUCUGUGUUGCCAGCAUGCCCUUCGGGGUGAUGGGGACUCACAGGAGACCGCCGGGGUCAACUCGGAGGAAGGUGGGGACGACGUCAAGUCAUCAUGCCCCUUAUGUCUUGGGCUGCACACGUGCUACAAUGGCCGGUACAAAGAGCUGCGAUACCGUGAGGUGGAGCGAAUCUCAAAAAGCCGGUCUCAGUUCGGAUUGGGGUCUGCAACUCGACCCCAUGAAGUCGGAGUCGCUAGUAAUCGCAGAUCAGCAUUGCUGCGGUGAAUACGUUCCCGGGCCUUGUACACACCGCCCGUCACGUCACG
rnacentral:rRNA from 1 species